rnacentral:rRNA from 1 species
UGGGGAAUUUUGGACAAUGGGCGAAAGCCUGAUCCAGCAAUGCCGCGUGUGUGAAGAAGGCCUUCGGGUUGUAAAGCACUUUUGUCCGGAAAGAAAUCCUUGGCUCUAAUACAGUCGGGGGAUGACGGUACCGGAAGAAUAAGCACCGGCUAACUACGUGCCAGCAGCCGCGGUAAUACGUAGGGUGCAAGCGUUAAUCGGAAUUACUGGGCGUAAAGCGUGCGCAGGCGGUUUGCUAAGACCGAUGUGAAAUCCCCGGGCUCAACCUGGGAACUGCAUUUGGUGACUGGCAGGCUAGAGUAUGGCAGAGGGGGGUAGAAUUCCACGUGUAGCAGUGAAAUGCGUAGAGAUGUGGAGGAAUACCGAUGGCGAAGGCAGCCCCCUGGGCCAAUACUGACGCUCAUGCACGAAAGCGUGGGGAGCAAACAGGAUUAGAUACCCUGGUAGUCCACGCCCUAAACGAUGUCAACUAGUUGUUGGGGAUUCAUUUCCUUAGUAACGUAGCUAACGCGUGAAGUUGACCGCCUGGGGAGUACGGUCGCAAGAUUAAAACUCAAAUGAAUUGACGGGGUC